rnacentral:rRNA from 1 species
CAGUCCUUCGGGACCGAGCGGCGGACGGGUUAGUAACGCGUGGGAACAUACCCUUUACUAAGGAAUAGCCUCGGGAAACUGAGAGUAAUACCUUAUACGCCCUUCGGGGGAAAGAUUUAUCGGUAAAGGAUUGGCCCGCGUUAGAUUAGAUAGUUGGUGGGGUAAUGGCCUACCAAGUCUACGAUCUAUAGCUGGUUUGAGAGGAUGAUCAGCAACACUGGGACUGAGACACGGCCCAGACUCCUACGGGAGGCAGCAGUGGGGAAUCUUAGACAAUGGGCGCAAGCCUGAUCUAGCGAUGCCGCGUGUGUGACGAAGGCCUUAGGGUCGUAAAGCACUUUCGCCAAGGAUGAUAAUGACAGUACUUGGUAAAGAAACCCCGGCUAACUCCGUGCCAGCAGCCGCGGUAAUACGGAGGGGGUUAGCGUUGUUCGGAAUUACUGGGCGUAAAGCGCACGUAGGCGGAUAUUUAAGUUAGAGGUGAAAUCCCAGGGCUCAACCC